rnacentral:rRNA from 1 species
CCUACGGGGGGCUGCAGUGAGGAAUAUUGCUCAAUGGGCGAAAGCCUGAAGCAGCGACGCCGCGUGGGUGAAGAAGGUCUUCGGAUCGUAAAGCCCUUUUCUGUGUGACGAGGAAGGACGGUAGCACAGGAAUAAGUGUCGGCUAACUACGUGCCAGCAGCCGCGGUAAAACGUAGGACGCAAGCGUUAUCCGGAAUUACUGGGCGUAAAGCGCGUGUAGGUGGUUGCGUAAGUCACUUGUGAAAGCCCAUGGCUAAACUGUGGGAGGUCAGGUG